UUCCGUUUUAUUAUACCAAUGUAACAAUUAUAUAUCGGUGUUUGCUGGGAUUGUUUUUACGAGUUUUAGUUAGUACUUGAUAGAAAUUUUUCACCAUAAUUCCACGGAUGAAUACGAUCGAUCACGGUGUCGCCCUUCUGUAGGCAGCUCGCAUUAAAAAAAAGCGUAGUGCCUAAAGACGAGCCGCAACGUAAUCGUCCGUUGAUAUCUUCUUUCGAUAAUAUGAAAGAUCUUCUUCGUGCAGCCACCAUCUGUUUACAAUCAAGAUGCUGAAGAAAAGACACGAACAAACUUUGACAGAUCUCACGGUCAGCUAGAAUAAUAAUUAUUAGAAAAAAAUCCAGCUUUGUCAUAUGAUCAGUCGUAAUCAAAUACAAAAGUCAAAAGUGUGGACAUCCUUUGCAGGGUUUCCUCUUCAGGAUGUUGCGGCCUAGAGAUUAGCCAAGCAAGCUCGUGAAGAGGAAACAGGAAGGGGCGGAU